GCACAGAGUUAGCCGUCCCUUCCUCUUCCGCUACUAUCAGCUUACGACGUGUUAGGUCGUAAGGUUUGAUCGCAAAUGACAGGGGUUUACGGGCCGAAGCCAUUCAUCCCCCACGCGGCGUCGCUCCUUCAGGGUUUCCCCCAUUGAGAAAAAUUCUCGACUGCUGCCACCCGUAGGUGUCUGGACCGUGUCUCAGUUCCAGUGUGGCUGGUCGUCCUCUCAGACCAGCUACCCGUCUUAGCCUUGGUGAGCCGUUACCUCACCAACUAGCUGAUAGGCCGCGGGCUUAUCGAAAAGCGUCAGGUCUUACGAUCCCCGACUUUAAGUUCCAGAAGAUGCCUUCCAGAAAUCACAUCCGGUAUUAGCUCGCCUUUCAGCAAGUUAUCCCAGACUUUACGGCAAAUUACCCACGUGUUACGCACCCUUGCGCCACUCUCACUAGCGAAUAUUGCUACCCACUAGUAAUCGUUCGACUUGCAUGUCUUAUCCACGCCGCCAGCGUUCGUU
rnacentral:rRNA from 1 species